UAGGGAAUCUUCGGCAAUGGACGAAAGUCUGACCGAGCAACGCCGCGUGAGUGAAGAAGGUUUUCGGAUCGUAAAACUCUGUUGGUAGAGAAGAACGUUGGUGAGAGUGGAAAGCUCAUCAAGUGACGGUAACUACCCAGAAAGGGACGGCUAACUACGUGCCAGCAGCCGCGGUAAUACGUAGGUCCCGAGCGUUGUCCGGAUUUAUUGGGCGUAAAGCGAGCGCAGGUGGUUUAUUAAGUCUGGUGUAAAAGGCAGUGGCUCAACCAUUGUAUGCAUUGGAAACUGGUAGACUUGAGUGCAGGAGAGGAGAGUGGAAUUCCAUGUGUAGCGGUGAAAUGCGUAGAUAUAUGGAGGAACACCGGUGGCGAAAGCGGCUCUCUGGCCUGU
rnacentral:rRNA from 1 species